AUUGAACGCUGGCGGCAGGCCUAACACAUGCAAGUCGAACGAGUGGCGGACGGGUGAGUAAUGUCUGGGAAACUGCCCGAUAGAGGGGGAUAACUACUGGAAACGGUAGCUAAUACCGCAUACUAUCGGAUGUGCCCCGAUGGGAUUAGCUAGUAGGUGGGGUAACGGCUCACCUAGGCGACGAUCCCUAGCUGGUCUGAGAGGAUGAACAGCCACACUGGGACUGAGACACGGUCCAGACUCCUACGGGAGGCAGCAGUGGGGAAUAUUGCACAAUGGGCGCAAGCCUGAUGCAGCCAUGCCGCGUGUAUGAAGAAGGCCUUAGGGUUGUAAAGUACUUUCAGCGGGGAGGCGUUACCCGCAGAAGAAGCACCGGCUAACUCCGUGCCAGCAGCCGCGGUAAUAC
rnacentral:rRNA from 1 species